rnacentral:rRNA from 1 species
AGAGUUUGAUUAUGGCUCAGGAUGAACGCUGGCGGCGUGCCUAAUACAUGCAAGUCGUACGAGGGAAGUCCAGCUUGCUGGACGGAACGAGUGGCGAACGGGUGAGUAAUACGUAAGCAACCUGCCUGCAAGGACUGGGAUAACACCUGGAAACGGGCGCUAAUACCGGAUAGGUAACAAAGGGGCAUCCCUAUGUUAUUAAAGGUUAGAAACACAAGCAGAUGGGCUUACGGUGCAUUAGCUAGUUGGUGAGGUAACGGCCCACCAAGGCGAUGAUGCAUAGCCGGCCUGAGAGGGUGAACGGCCACAUUGGGACUGAGACACGGCCCAGACUCCUACGGGAGGCAGCAGUAGGGAAUUUUCGGCAAUGGACGAAAGUCUGACCGAGCAACGCCGCCGUGAGUGAAGAAGGUUUUCGGAUUGUAAAGCUCUGUUGUAAAGGAAGAACAGCACGGAAAGAAUCCGUGAAUGACGGUACCUUACCAGAAAGCCACGGCUAACUACGUGCCAGCAGCCGC